rnacentral:lncRNA from 1 species
UUUGAGCACUGGGGCUCUACCACAACAACCUACGCCACACAGCCUCAGGUUGGCUGCACAGCCACUAGCCCAGGAUUCCAGCUGAGGCUGGAACCAUCUGCCCUCCAAGACUCAGCCAGGAGUCCUGCCUCAAAGUUCCUGGUCACAGCAGGCUUCCAACAGCUGGAGAAAGACCCAAGGUAUGGGAUUUCAGCUGGGUUCCCUCUCUGGGCCUUAACAAAAUAAGGUCGCUGACUAGCUGCCAUGUUGGGGAAGAUCUAUGGUCAAUAUGAAAGACUUUUCUAGAGUUCACUGAAUGGUUUUCACAAGGGAAUGCUGGGAAGGCUCUAUCCAGCUCUCAGGACUCCUCAGCUUUCCCUCAACCUGUAAGUUUUGCCAACUUACCUGAGAUGGGCACUCAAGACUGGUAAAAAUGACUUCUCUCUCCUGAGAGGCCUAAGUCUCUGCUGAUCUGAGCAGCCAAGGAAUUGGAUCAUUAAGAAACUCCCUCCCUCUGGGCCGUGACCUGGAUGGCUUCUACUUGGGUAGUUGGCAUCACCAUUGCCUUGUCUGGUAGCUUGUGACUAUUGUGGUCUUAUGUUGGGGUCAGAAUCCUACUGCCCAGCCUAUUGAGUGGGUCAAGGCCACCAUGUUCCCUGCACCCUCUCUGAUUUACACAAGCUGUUUAAACUGAAUGGGAUUUCAGCUGGGUUCCCUCUCUGGGCCUUAACAAAUAAGGUCACUGAUUAGCUGCCAUUCAAGUUUGCACAUCUGCAAAGGCAUAUUGGAACUAUGAAACAACAAACGGGAAAAUGCUUAGUAAGACUGUCUGACACACAGUGUGUUAGCAGUCUGUCUAAACUCCACCCCACAAUUACCUAGCAACUGCCAGGUAUGCUCCUUCCCACUGUUACCUGGCAACAGCCAGGUAGACCUGAUCCAUUAUAAAAGGGGCUGCUUACCCCCUCCUCUCUCUCUUGCUCUCUUGCCUCUUACUCUUGCUUCCUGCUUGCUUUUCUCUUGCCCUCUUGGACUCUUCUCUUCCCUACCCCUCUGUCCAUGUGCUCAAGGCCAUGGCUGGCCUUUACUUCUCUCUCUCUCUGCCCUUCUCUGCCUCUAUUACCUUCUUAACUCCCCUCCCCAUGCCCUAAAUAAACUCUAUUCUAUACUAUACUGUCGUAUGGCUGGUCCUUCAGGGAGAAGGGAUGCCUUGACAUGAACGCACCGAGGCACCCCUUUCCCCCACACCUCACCAUAACCCAUAGAACAUGUCUUAUAUCUCUUUAUCUUUUUAUAAACACAUCACAGUCAGCAAUAGGUGGUUAUUUUGUAUUGGGAUAAUAUGGCAAUAAAUGAAGGCUUUGUCUGAAGUCCCCAAGUUCAAAUCCUGACACUGCAAACAUCCAAUUGUAUCACUUCUUUUGCCUCAGUUUAUCUCAGAAAUGGGAAAACUAUAAGGUUUUCUUAGGCUAUUGCAUGGCAGUGUGCAAAAACCAUCUGUCCUGUGGGAGGCUAAAGUAGCCCACUGGAAAUUAUUAUUAUUUUUUUAUAUGUCUUUAUUUCAUGUAUAUGAACGUUUUGCCUGUCUGUAGUAUGUACAUGCACCACAUGUGUGUCCAUGUUUACAGAGGUCAGAAGAGGCCAUCAGAUCCCUGGAACUGGAGUGACAGAAGGUUGUGAGCCACCCUGUGGGUGCUGUGUCCCCUGCCAGGGCAACAAGUGCUCUUAACCACUGAGCUGCCUCUCCAGGCCUGCAAAAGUAAACAUUUUAAAAACAUUUCUUUCUACUCACGCUUAUGAGUAUAUGUCUAUCUGGAUGAACGUAUGCCACACGUGAGCUGGUGUGUUUGGAGAUCAGGUUAGGAUCCUCCCAAUCAUAAAAUUAUUUUCAUUGCUACUUCAUAACCGUAAUUUUGCUGCUGUUAUGAAUUGUAAUGUUAAUAUCUGUGGUUUCCAAUAGUCUUAGGCAACUCCUGUGAAAAGGUUGGUCAGCCUCCAAAGGGGUCACAACCCACAGGCUGAGCACCACUGUCCUAGGGGCUAGAGUUUUAAAAGUUGUGAACCAAAGGAUCUGGGUGCUGGGCACCAAGCCUGAGUCCUCUGGAAGAGUUGCAAGUGUUCCUAACCACUGAGCUGUCUCUCUGAUCUCGGACUGUUUGUUUUUAGGUCGGUUUCCUUUUGCUUUUUGAUUGAGACAGGGUCUCUUGUAUGACAGGCUAGGCUUGAACUUACUAAAUAUGUUCCACCCCAACCUUCUACCUCCCAAGUGCUGGGAUUUCACGUCGGCAUCUCCUCGCUCGCACAGUUUAUUACAGUGCUGGAGACUGAACCCAGGCUGGCUUCCAGGGUGCCAGUGAGCAGUCUGCCAACUGAGCCACACCCACAGCCCCACAGCCAACCAAAUGUGUUUCUGUGGCAUAUGUCAAGUUGGCUAUUCAGAGGAAUUGCAGGCCCUUGCAGAUGGGUUCCAAGGGGCUGUUUUUUUGAAGGAAGCCAUUCACUUCUGCCCACUGUCACUAGACAGUGGGUAUAGGGUAUUUCUCAUACUUCCCCCCACCCCUGCUUUGCUUUUUGCAUAGGAAAGAUCUUGCCUACAGGAAGUCACUAAGGAGGUCUGAUUGGCCCAGAUAGAAAUGACCAACUACAGGUCACCCUGACCUGAGAGACUUCAUCUGCAUCAUAAGGCUGGCCACUUCUUUUCCCCUAAAAGCCCAACCCCAUUUUUUGUUUACCAUGGUGAAAGACUCCAUCAUCCUGCCCCACUUCUUGAUCUUUUGUUGUUUUGAGACAGGGCUUCAUUCUAUGGUCCAAGCUGGUCUGGAAGAGGACACCAGCCUCCCUCAGCUUCCUGCGUGCUGGGAUUACAGGUGUGCACCCCCAGGCAGCUCCCUUGCCUCUCUCUGAGUGCCUGGCAUUAGUCCCUCUCCACGUUAGUGCAUGUGCAUAAGUGAGUGGUCAUGGUGCUGCCACUCCAAAGAUGAAAGUCAUCAGAACUGGCAGGCAGAAGCAGGCAUAAUGGUGCUCAUCUUUAAUCCCAGAAGUGGGGAAGCAGAUGCAGGUGGAUCUCUGUAAAUUCAAGACCAGUCUGGUCUACAUAGUAGGUUCCAGGACAGCCCAGGCUAUGCACCUCGACCCUGUCUCAAAACAAAACAAAACCUGGCCAGUGAGACAGCUUCACAGGGAAAGGCACUUGCCAUGCAAGUCUGGUGACUUAAGUUUGGUUCUUAGGACAAUGUAAAGCUGGGAAGAUAAAACAGAGUCCACAAAAUGGUCCUCAGGCCUUCACAUGCAUAUCUCUCUCUCUCUCUCUCUCUCUCUCUGUCUCUCUCUCUGUCUCUCUCUCUCUCUCUCUGUGUGCACUUGAAGGGUUGGUUAUCACCAGUCUUCCCUCCUAAGCUAGGAAUGCCCUCCUCUAUCAUUUAUCCUCCCAACCUUCUAGAACCUAGACGAGUGUUUCUCCAUUCCAGCUUUAUUAAUAAAACCUGAGGACUUUUUUGCCCCCUCAAAUGUCCAAAGUCCAACACUAGAGACUGAAAACAUUUCAGGGCCAGUGCAGCCAACAAACUGAUUGGUUUCUGCUGGACCUAACUGUUACCUCAACUGGGAAACCAGACAGAUCUCCCCUCCUUGGAAUCCCCACAGGCUGCACACCACCCUCCCUAGGCUGGCUUGUGCUCAGCUGUUGAGGAGUUGCCAUUCCUGUGUAGCUGGAGGGCACUGAUUUUUGCAUGCAUUGUGGGGACAGGGGCAGGGGCAGGGGCGGGGAGAAGAAUCUAUCUUCAGAGAAAACCUCUGGGGACCAGCUGAUUCUAGUUUUUCUGUCUUCAGGCUCUUGUAGAGCUCAGCAAGUGGUAGAUGACUAAUGUUCAUACAUAGUAAUUCUAAUAUCAUUCCACAGUCUCUCCCCUCCCCCUUGGGUGGAAAAACCAGUUUUGCCUCUAAGUGCAUAUUCCUUUAAAUAUAAAGGCGGCUAUUGAUUCCAUUUUGAGCUGGUUACUAAUAUCUGCUUGGACUAGUCACUGGCUAUAAGAAGAAUAAAAUCUUAGGUAAAUGCUCAUUUUUAUUUUAUUGCCUGUGACUCAUGGCUGGCCCAUUACUGCAUAGCUAUGGUGCCUGCUGUAACCCUCUGGUGAGGUUAACCUCUGCCUCCAGCCAGGGUGGCACUUCUUACAGGCUGGCUGUCUUGCUGGUUGAUGGAGUGGUUAAGAAGCCAAGCCUUCGAGGGUGCUUUUCCUCAAAAGCACAAACCCCUCACUCUUCUCACAAGGAAACAAAAUCCAAGCUAUCUUCAUCUGGAGUCUGUCUGUCUGUCUGUCUUGUUUACUUUGGCUCAAAGUACAGAGCUAAGUACUGUCCCUCUGGUGUCACCUUAGAUUCCUGAAGAACAAAACUGCACAGAACAGAUCACCCUGUGAAAGAGGACAGUCGUUCCAUGAGGGUGAGCUGCACCCGGGGCAGGAGUGGUCAGUCGGGAGGAACCAGAGGGAGUUCCUAAAGCAAUGGCAUUGAUAAUGAUGACAGAGGUGAGGGCUUCUAAGAACCUCUCAGAAGAGCGAGAAUGAAGGUAGAGAGGAUCAGAUUGGUUGACCAUGCAUAUCUCUUGCCCUGGUUCUUCCUCUGUUCAAACUCAAGUCAUGUCAGAAUAGUAAAAAGGGGCUUGGUGUCUCAGCCUCCCUCAGUUUAUUUUUCCUCCUAACUUGGUCACAUUGAAUAAAUUUCUCUUUAUCAUUCCCCCCCCCCCUCACCAUUACAGGUCUCUAGCUGGUUUAUUGGGACCAGGUGGCAGAGCUUUGCUAGUGAAGGACUGCAGAAGCCUAGGCUCCCAUGACAAAAACUCCAGUUACAGCCAUGAGAGGUUUCUUUAGUGACACCCUUGAAAAGUCACAAGGGGAAAAGUGGAACCAUUAAAACAAACUGCUUUACUCCCCAAGCUGUGGCCAGAGGGGAAAUGACCUGAAGUUGGGCAACUUGUCCAGGUCCAUAGAGAAAAUUACUGAUUAACUGAGGGAGGACUCGUGAGAAAGCAAAAGGAAGCAACAAACCUACUAGCUAUCUAAGCUCACUGGUGGGAUCUGGGACAGAAAGUGGGAUAGACAAGGCUCCUGUUGCCCUUAGCAACGACAGCCUAAUACCACAGUUUGCCUGACAAUAAGUAUAGAGGAAAAAAAAUGAGCACUGAUUAUGAUAAACUUUUAUCAUUUUUUGGAGGGGGGCAAACAUGUGCUGUGGGUUAUGAGAGUUGGUUCUUUCCUUCCACCAGGCGGGUGCUGGGAAUUGAACUCAGGUCAUCAGGCUUGGUGGCCUUUACCUGCUGAGAGAGACAUUUGCUGUUCAUUUCCCCCACCCUUCAAUCCACUUCUAAAAUAACAUAGAAAAGAGCAUGGUGUAGGUUGGGGUGUAGCUUAUUCAAUAGAGUACCCACCCAGCACGUACAAGGCACGAUAGUUACAUACACAUAAGCAAUGGGAGCUGGAGGCUGCAGGGUUAGAAAUUCAUCGUCAGAUACAUAGCAAGUUCAAUGCCAGCCUGGGCUACAUGAGACCCUGUCUCAAGAACAAUUUUAGUAACAGAGUCUGAAGAUUUUCUGUAUCCCAGAAAGUUUUCGUGCCUCUUGGGGUAAGUCUACUGUACUGCUUGAAGGCUGUGAUCUUCAAACAUUCCUUUUAAACUGGGUAUUCAGUUUAGUAUAGACUCAGCUUAGUAUAGCCUUGGUUUAGUAUAGACUCAGUUUAGUAUAGACUUAGUUUAGUGUAGAUUAGUUUAGUAUAGCAUGUGUAAAUCUUUGGGUUCCAUCCCUACCACC